GACGAACGCUGGCGGCGUGCCUAGUACAUGCAAGUCGAACGCACUCUCGUUUAGAUUGAAGGAGCUUGCUCCUGAUUGAUAAACAUUUGAGUGAGUGGCGGACGGGUGAGUAACACGCGGGUAACCUGCCCUAAAGUGGGGGAUAACAUUUGGAAACAGAUGCUAAUACCGCAUAAAACCUAAACACCGCAUGGUGUAGGGUUGAAAGAUGGUUUCGGCUAUCACUUUAGGAUGGACCCGCGGUGCAUUAGUUAGUUGGUGAGGUAAAGGCUCACCAAGACCGUGAUGCAUAGCCGACCUGAGAGGGUAAUCGGCCACACUGGGACUGAGACACGGCCCAGACUCCUACGGGAGGCAGCAGUAGGGAAUCUUCCACAAUGGACGAAAGUCUGAUGGAGCAACGCCGCGUGAGUGAAGAAGGUUUUCGG
rnacentral:rRNA from 1 species